UGCAGUCGACGAGACGGAUUAUAGCUUGCUAUAAUUGUCAGCUAAGUGGCGCACGGGUGAGUAAUGUAUAGGUAAUAUGCCUCUUACUAAGGGAUAACAAAUGGAAACGUUUGCUAAUACCUUAUACUCCUUAUUAACAUAAGUUAAUAAGGGAAAGAUUUAUUGGUAAGAGAUUAGCCUGUAUUGUAUCAGUUAGUUGGUGGGGUAAUGGCUUACCAAGACUAUGACACAUAACUGGUUUGAGAGGAUGAUCAGUCACACUGGAACUGAGACACGGUCCAGACUCCUACGGGAGGCAGCAGUGGGGAAUAUUGCACAAUGGACGAAAGUCUGAUGCAGCAACGCCGCGUGGAGGAUGACACAUUUCGGUGCGUAAACUCCUUUUAUAUGAGAAGAUAAUGACGGUAUUAUAUGAAUAAGCACCGGCUAACUCCGUGCCAGCAGCCGCGGUAAUACGGGGGGUGCAAGCGUUACUCGGAAUCACUGGGCGUAAAGAGCAUGUAGGCGGAUUAAUAAGUUUGAAGUGAAAUCCUAUAGCUUAACUAUAGAACUGCUUUGAAAACUGUUAAUCUAGAAUGUGGGAGAGGUAGAUGGAAUUUCUGGUGUAGGGGUAAAAUCCGUAGAGAUCAGAAGGAAUACCGAUUGCGAAGGCGAUCUACUGGAACAUUAUUGACGCUGAGAUGCGAAAGCGU
rnacentral:rRNA from 1 species